rnacentral:rRNA from 1 species
AACGCUGGCGGCGUGCCUAACACAUGCAAGUCGAGCGAGAAAGUCCCCUCGGGGGCGAGUAAAGCGGCGCACGGGUGAGUAACGCGUGGGUAACCUGCCCUAGAGUGGGGGAUAACCAGCCGAAAGGCUGACUAAUCCCGCAUACGACCGGCAGACACAAGUCUGCUGGGGAAAGAUGGCCUCUGCUUGCAAGCUAUCGCUCUUGGAUGGGCCUGCGUUGGAUUAGCUAGUUGGUGAGGUAAUGGCUCACCAAGGCUGCGAUCCAUAGCUGGUUUGAGAGGACGACCAGCCACACUGGAACUGAGACACGGUCCAGACUCCUACGGGAGGCAGCAGUGAGGAAUAUUGCGCAAUGGGGGAAACCCUGACGCAGCGACGCCGUGUGAGCGAUGAAGGCCUUCGGGUCGUAAAGCUCUGUCAGAGGGAAAGAAAGGGCCGGAGGAAUAAUACCCUUCGGCAUUGACGGUACCCUCAGAGGAAGCACCGGCUAACUCCGUG